AACAGGGCCAGGAGGGAGGGAAGGCCCACGCUGCCAGCUCAGUGUGGCCUCCCAGGGGCUGGCAGAGGCCAGCCUGGCCAUCAGGAGCCUCUGUCUCUGGGGUCUUCUAUUUCUGGACUCAGCCUCCAGGGCCGUUGGCAGGCCUUCCGGAACCAUCGCUGACCCCCGCCCCACCACACUCCACAGACCCCCAUGGCUGCCGCUGGGGACCUGCUAAGUGCCGGGGGCCUGCUGGGGAGAAGCUCAAGCAUUUCAUCCUGUCAACCCCAAGCCUUCCCAGAAGCUCCGUGACACAGAUGCAAUUGUCACCUCUAUUUUACAGAGGCUGGAACUGAGGCACAGAGAGGUGAAGGAGAUUUCCCAGAAGCACCAAGAUUUGAAGGCCACCACGAGCCCACUUGCCACAACAGCCACCCGAGAGACGGGUCACUCAAAAACGCGUCCUUGGAGUAAGGGUAGAAAAACCCAAGUGUGAAGGAGAAAAGUGUCCAGGGCCCGUGGCUACCGUCGGCAGCUCUCUGGGGACUUGGCAGGGGACAGGAGAGCAGCCCUUUCCCCCGGCUCUAAAGAAGAGACACGGGAAUAGUUUGGGAACUACAGGGUGACAUUUGGUUCUGUGCAAAGUCUCAGUGGACGGACU